rnacentral:rRNA from 1 species
AAAGGAAUUGACGGGGGCCCGCACAAGCAGUGGAGUAUGUGGUUUAAUUCGAAGCAACGCGAAGAACCUUACCAGGGCUUGACAUCCCUAGAAGGCCUGUGAGAGCAGGCUGUGCCUUCGGGAACUAGGUGACAGGUGGUGCAUGGUUGUCGUCAGCUCGUGUCGUGAGAUGUUGGGUUAAGUCCCGCAACGAGCGCAACCCUUGUUGCUAGUUGCUACCAUUAAGUUGAGCACUCUAGCGAGACUGCCGUUGACAAAACGGAGGAAGGUGGGGACGAUGUCAAAUCAUCAUGCCCCUUAUGUCCUGGGCUACACACGUACUACAAUGGCGAUUAACAACGGGAAGCCAAGCCGCGAGGCGGAGCAAAUCCCCAAAAAUCGUCCCAGUUCGGAUUGUAGGCUGAAACUCGCCUGCAUGAAGUUGGAAUUGCUAGUAAUCGCGGAUCAGCAUGCCGCGGUGAAUACGUUCCCGGGCCUUGUACACACCGCCCGU